UGAACCAAAGGAGAGCAAGGUGGAAGCCACCAGAACUUUCAUAACCCAGUGUCAGUUGUGGCCAGUGUCAUAUCUACAAUACCCUUAUGAGUGACCAGGUCUGCCCUAGUUAGCAUGGGAGGGAUCUAUACAAGGCCAUGGAUACCAGAAGAUGGACUCACUGAAGGGUGGCUGCUAUAGUGAGAGAAUGCAAAGACAGAAAAUGGUCUGAGACUUCAUUGUCAACUGGAUCACAAUGGCAUCAUCUUAACAUUCAAGAGGAUGAUGUCCACAGAAAACAAACAAGAGUUCAAGAUCCACAUUUGGUACUGUAUCAUUUCUGCUACCAGUGAUCCCCAAACCACACCUCUCCAAUCCUCCACCAUGGGGAGGAACUGGAACCUCCCAGAAAUGAAGUCGGAGUUUAAGGGCACAGAGUGAGCAGAACACAGUUAAGUACUGGGAUCCUAUCACCCUGGUCCAGGACCUUGUGCACACUGGGAGAGUAAUCUGUCACUGAGCUAUAUAGUCACAACCCUUUAAAUACAUUAAUCACCACCAAGAAGAAGGUGGCAUUGCCACUAGUUACUUUAAGGGACUGUGGCUCA